GAUGAACGCUGGCGGCGUGCCUAAUACAUGCAAGUCGAGCGAACGGACGAGAAGCUUGCUUCUCUGAUGUUAGCGGCGGACGGGUGAGUAACACGUGGAUAACCUACCUAUAAGACUGGGAUAACUUCGGGAAACCGGAGCUAAUACCGGAUAAUAUUUUGAACCGCAUGGUUCAAAAGUGAAAGACGGUCUUGCUGUCACUUAUAGAUGGAUCCGCGCUGCAUUAGCUAGUUGGUAAGGUAACGGCUUACCAAGGCAACGAUGCAUAGCCGACCUGAGAGGGUGAUCGGCCACACUGGAACUGAGACACGGUCCAGACUCCUACGGGAGGCAGCAGUAGGGAAUCUUCCGCAAUGGGCGAAAGCCUGACGGAGCAACGCCGCGUGAGUGAUGAAGGUCUUCGGAUCGUAAAACUCUGUUAUUAGGGAAGAACAUAUGCGUAAGUAACUGUGCACAUCUUGACGGUACCUAAUCGGAAAGCCACGGCUAACUACGUG
rnacentral:rRNA from 1 species